UGCUUACGCGCACGCGCAUUCCUUGCUAGGGAGAAAGUGCGUGAGCCCUACCUUGGGGCGCCAGAGGCCGCCACAACGCAGGCGCAUUCAGCUAAGGACCACUCCCUCCCCCCGCACUCCUGCCUCGCCAUUUCCCCUCCCUGGCCGGCCGGCCGGCCUUCUUCGCUUUGCGCACGUACCUUUUGAGGUAACGGCCCAAAGAGGUAGAAGCGCUUUUCCCGCCCGGCCGCGGGGCGUGGCUCUGCGCGCAGCUUGAUGACGACGUUUUGGCGCGGUGGCGGAAUGGCGGCUUCCACCUCUGAAGCGGGCGACGCUAUGGGUCCCACAGUGGUUUGCUAAGAAGGCCAUUUUCAACUCUCCAUUGGAGGCUGCUAUGGCGUUCCCUCACCUGCAGCAGCCCAGCUUUCUACUGGCCAGCCUGAAAGCUGACUCUAUAAAUAAGCCCUUUGCACAGCAGUGCCAAGACUUGAUUAAAGUAAUUGAGGAUUUUCCAGCAAAGGAGCUGCACACCAUCUUCCCAUGGCUGGUAGAGAGCAUUUUCGGCAGCCUAGACGGUGUCCUCGUUGGCUGGAACCUCCGCUGCUUACAGGGGCGUGUGAAUCCUGUGGAGUACAGCAUCGUGAUGGAAUUUCUCGACACUGGUGGCCCAAUGAUGAAGUUGGUUUAUAAGCUUCAAGCUGAAGACUAUAAGUUCGACUUUCCUGUCUCCUACCUGCCUGGUCCUGUGAAGGCGUCCAUCCAGGAGUGCAUCCUCCCUGACAGUCCUCUGUACCACAACAAGGUCCAGUUCACCCCUACUGGGGGCCUUGGUCUGAACCUGGCCCUGAAUCCAUUCGAGUAUUACAUAUUCUUCUUUGCCUUGAGCCUCAUCACUCAGAAGCCACUCCCUGUGUCCCUCCACGUCCGUACUUCAGACUGUGCCUAUUUCAUCCUGGUGGACAGGUACCUGUCAUGGUUCCUGCCCACCGAAGGCAGUGUGCCCUGCCACUCUCCUCCAGCCCAGGGGGGACCAGCCCCUCACCGCCUCCCAGGACACCAACCAUGCCCUUUGCUUCCUAUGGCCUCCACCACACUAGCCUCCUGAAGCGACACAUCUCUCAUCAGACGUCUGUGAAUGCAGACCCCGCCUCCCACGAGAUCUGGAGGUCAGACACUGCUCCAGGUUUUUGUUGAAAUGUGGCUUCAUCACUAUUCGUUGGAGAUGUAUCAAAAAAUGCAGUCCCCUCAUGCCAAGGAGUCGUUCACGCCUACUGAGGAGCAUGUGUUGGUGGUGCGCCUGCUGCUGAAGCACCUGCACGCCUUUGCCAACAGCCUGAAGCCAGAGCAGGCCUCACCCUCCGCCCACUCCCACGCCACCAGCCCCCUGGAGGAGUUCAAACGGGCCGCUGUCCCGAGGUUCAUCCAGCAGAAACUCUACCUCUUCUUGGAGCAUUGCUUUGGCCACUGGCCCCUGGACGCAUCGUUCAGAGCUGUCCUGGAGAUGUGGCUGAGCUACCUGCAGCCGUGGCGGUACGCGCCUGACAAGCAGGCUUCAGGCAGCGACUCCCAGCCCCGGUGUGUGUCGGAGAAAUGGGCGCCCUUUGUCCAGGAGAACCUGCUGAUGUACACCAAGUUGGUUGUGGGCUUCCUGAACCGCGCACUCCGCACAGACCUGGUUAGCCCCAAGCAUGCGCUCCUGGUGUUCUGAGUGGCCAAAGUCUUUGCCCAGCCCAACCUGGCUGAGAUGAUUCAGAAAGGUGAGCAGCUAUUCCUGGAGCCAGAGCUGGUCAUCCCCCACCGCCAGCACCGACUCUUCACGGCCCCCACAUUCACUGGGAGCUUCCUGUCACCCUGGCCACCAGCGGUCACUGAUGCCUCCUUCAAGGUGAAGAGCCACGUCUACAGCCUGGAGGGCCAGGACUGCAAGUACACCCCAAUGUUUGGGCCCGAGGCCCGCACCCUGGUCCUGCGCCUCGCUCAGCUCAUCACAGAGGCCAAACACACAGCCAAGUCCAUCUCCGACCAGUGUGCGGAGAGCCCGGCUGGCCACUCCUUCCUCUCAUGGCUGGGCUUUAGCUCCAUGGACACCAGUGGCUCCUACACAGCCAACGACCUGGACGAGAUGGGGCAAGACAGUGUCCGGAAGACAGAUGAAUACCUGGAGAAGGCCCUGGAGUACCUGCGCCAGAUAUUCCGGCUCAGCGAAGCGCAGCUUAGGCAGUUCACACUCGCCUUGGGCAUCACCCAGGAUGAGAAUGGAAAACAGCAGCUCCCCGACUGCGUCGUGGGUGAGAACGGACUCAUCCUUACGCCCCUGGGGCGGUACCAGUUCGCAGGACAGAUGGCGGCUCUGUGUUCCCGGGAUGACUUCCUCGGCAGCUUCUGUCGCUACCACCUCACAGAACCUGGGCUGGCCAGCAGGCACCUGCUGAGUCCUGUGGGGCGGAGGCAGGUGGCCGGCCACACCCGCGGCCCCAGGCUCAGCCUGCGCUUCCUGGGCAGUUACCGGACGCUGGUCUCGCUGCUGCUGGCCUUCUUCGUGGCCUCUCUGUUCUGCGUCGGGCCCCUCCCAUGCAUGCUGCUGCUCACCCUGGGCUACGUCCUCUACGCCUCUGCCAUGAUACUGCUGACCGAGCGGGGGAAGCUGCACCAGCCCUGAAGGUGGCAGCUGCCUUCAGAGCAGGCUGGAGGGAUUUGCCACACAGCCCCACCCUUGGGCUGAGAGGACCUGGGAAGCCCCUCCAGGAGGGAACACGGUCAUCCUCAGGCUUCUGGAGCGGGGUUCCUGCAGCCGCAGAGGCAUCUGGAGGAAACACAACCAAGAAAGGAAGGCAGUUGGGCCCCAGCAAAGGAGUGGCUACCAGGGCUCAACAGCCACGCUCUGUGACAGCGCAGAGCUCAGCGCCGGCCUUUCCCUCCCUCUGCCAAGGACUCAUGGCCAAGCCAGCUCUCGGGGCCUUUUUUCCAGUGCCCAUUUGGCUACUCUGCUGCACCAAGCUUGGGAGCCAGCCUGCCAAGAGCCGCCUGGGCCUGGCCUCCCCACUGGCUGGCCUUGAGGUAGGCAGAGUGGGUUGUGGCGCCUCCUCUCUCUGUGUGGGACCAGGACGGUGGCUUAAGUCUCCACUCCAGGAAAGAAUCAAAGUUUCUAGAGUUGUGAGAAAACCAGAGAGUGGCUCUCCUGAUUCUUCACUCUGGGGUGCGUUCUUCAUGUUCUCCCAGCUGUUCCAAGACUGGGCCGUAGAAUUCCAUGUUUCAGGAGCCUAAGACCCUCCCAGAGCCCAGGUGCUUCACCGCAGACCGCAAGCCAUUGAGCACAUCACCCAAAGCAGUGGCCAACAUCGCGGACCCCUGUGCCUUGUCACAGAUGGGUGCUGGUCCUCAGGCGUUGGGGACACUGCUGGGUCGAUGGGGUCGGAUUCUGCCAGUUUCUGCUCUGCAGCCAAAGAUGGUCAGAAGCAUUGUCACUUCAGUAACAUCAAGUGCUCAAAGACAUGGCAACCGUUCAGUGGUACUUAAGUAUUCAAAAUAUACAACUACAGAUUCUCUGACAGAAACCAGCACGGGGUCUUCACCUUCAUUCACCCCACAGGCGACAUGCGAGGGAGAACAGCAUCUCAGUGGUGAUUUCCAAACCAAGCCUUUGUUUUCGGUGUGGGGUUUUGGGGGUUUGCUUUAAUGUUUUUGAAAUUGUAAAUGUUGGGCUUUGUAUUUUGAUGUAAACUGAGAAUAAUGGCAUUUUAGGGCCUGUGACCAAAAAUGAAGCUUGUAACGACCAUGGAUCUGAAUAAACAUGUCCUUGCUUCUGAGUC